rnacentral:RNase_P_RNA from 1 species
CAGCUGGACCGGACGGUCGCUCUCGCUAGUCAAGUGGCGGGGGAGGAAAGUCCGAACUCCACAGAGCAGUGUGCCGGAUAACGUCCGGGAGGGUGCCCUGUCCAAGCUUUGCUUGGGCGGGUCCAUUCGACGGAAAGUGCCACAGAAAACAUACCGCCACGGCGGCAACGCCGGGGUAAGGGUGAAAAGGUGCGGUAAGAGCGCACCGCUGUCGCAGUAAUGCGGCAGGCAGGGCAAACCCCACACGGAGCAAGACCAAAUAGGGAGGGAGCCUCGGGUUCGCCUGAGGCGCGUGCCGGCUCGGUGCGCCACAACCUCCGGGUAGGUCGCUUGAGCCGCGCAGUAAUGCCCGGCCCAGAGGAAUGACCGUCCUGCCGGAGCAAUCCGGCAGACAGAAUUCGGCUUACAGGUCCGGCUGCCAC